GAUCCUGGCUCAGGACGAACGCUGGCGGCGUGCCUAAUACAUGCAAGUAGAACGCUGAAGGAGGAGCUUGCUUCUCUGGAUGAGUUGCGAACGGGUGAGUAACGCGUAGGUAACCUGCCUGGUAGCGGGGGAUAACUAUUGGAAACGAUAGCUAAUACCGCAUAACAGUAGAUGUUGCAUGACAUUUUGCUUAAAAGGUGCAAUUGCAUCACUACCAGAUGGACCUGCGGUUG
rnacentral:rRNA from 1 species